rnacentral:rRNA from 1 species
UACGGAAGGGGCAAGCGUUGUUCGGAAUCAUUGGGCGUAAAGGGCGCGUAGGUGGUUCUGUAUGUCUACCGUGAAAGUCCGGGGCUCAACCCCGGACUUGCAGUGGGUACGGGCAGACUAGAGUGUGGUAGGGGAGACUGGAAUUCCUGGUGUAGCGGUGAAAUGCGCAGAUAUCAGGAGGAACACCGGUGGCGAAGGCGGGUCUCUGGGCCGAAACUGACGCUGAGGAGCGAAAGCGUGGGGAGCAAACAGG